CGCCUGCGCACUGAGGGCUCCGGGCCUCCCGGCCUGAGGGAGAGGAGCAGGGAAGAUGGCGGCUGUGGUGGAAAAUGUAGUGAAGCUCCUCGGGGAGCAGUACUACAAAGAUGCCAUGGAGCAGUGCCACAAUUACAAUGCCCGCCUCUGUGCUGAGCGCAGUGUACGCCUUCCUUUCCUGGACUCACAGACUGGAGUAGCCCAGAGCAACUGUUAUAUCUGGAUGGAAAAGCGCCACCGGGGUCCAGGAUUGGCCUCUGGGCAGCUGUACUCCUACCCUGCCCGGCGCUGGAGGAAAAAGCGGCGAGCCCAUCCUCCUGAGGAUCCAAGACUUUCUUUCCCAUCUAUUAAACCAGACACGGACCAAACCCUGAAGAAAGAGGGGCUGAUCUCUCAAGACGGCAGUAGUUUAGAGGCUCUGUUGCGCACCGACCCCCUGGAGAAGCGAGGCGCCCCAGAUCCCCGAGUGGAUGAUGACAGCCUGGGCGAGUUUCCUGUAACCAACAGUCGAGCACGGAAGCGGAUCCUAGAACCAGAUGACUUCCUGGAUGACCUUGAUGACGAGGACUAUGAAGAAGACACUCCCAAGCGUCGGGGCAAGGGGAAGUCCAAGGGUAAAGGUGUGGGCAGUGCCCGGAAGAAGCUGGACGCUUCCAUCCUGGAGGAUCGGGACAAGCCCUAUGCCUGUGACAUCUGUGGAAAACGUUACAAGAACCGACCAGGCCUCAGUUACCACUACGCCCACUCCCACUUGGCUGAGGAAGAGGGUGAGGACAAGGAAGACUCACAGCCACCCACCCCGGUUUCCCAGAGGUCGGAGGAGCAGAAAUCCAAGAAGGGUCCCGACGGGUUGGCCCUGCCCAACAACUACUGCGACUUCUGCCUGGGGGAUUCCAAGAUCAACAAGAAGACAGGGCAGCCCGAGGAGCUGGUGUCCUGCUCCGACUGUGGCCGCUCAGGGCACCCGUCUUGCCUGCAGUUCACCCCGGUGAUGAUGGCGGCCGUGAAGACCUACCGCUGGCAGUGCAUCGAGUGCAAGUGCUGCAACAUCUGCGGCACCUCCGAGAACGAUGUGCGUGUCCCCACCCCACACGCCUGGCUCCGGCCGCCCGCGGCCCUUGUGCGGGAGCUCCCUGUGAGAGGGAAGCAAGACCCUCCCCAGCACCCCAGUGAGAACUUCGGGUCCCUUGCUCGGCAGGUGCUCCUUGAGCGCCAGCUUUGUGUCAGCUGCCGUUCUAGGCACUGAGGACACAAGACCCACGAGGCCACUCCCUUCAUGGGAUCUGUCCCCUCCCGGGAACAAGCGGUGCGCAAGGAGAUGAGUGACACUUUGGCGACAGGCCGUGAAGAGAGUGGAAGCGGUGGUGUGGCAGAGUCCCUGGGUAAUGCGUGUAGGUGGUCAGAGCCGGCCUUGCCGAGGAGGUGACGUUGGUGUUGAGAUUUGGCUGAUGCAGAGGAGCCGGUCCAAGAAGGUUUGCGGGUACAGCGUGGCCAGGGGAGGGGCACCACGUGCAGAGGACUUAAGGCAGACGAGCCAAGUGUACUGAGGCAGCGUGGCCAGCUGGGGCCUUCCUGCAGUGGGAGCACAGUGGGUGGGGAGCGCGGAAGGCGCUCCACCAGGUCUGAGGGUUUACUCGGAGUGAUGUGCCCUGUCUUUAACAUUUGUAGAAGAUAACUUUAGUCUGUGAAGAAUAGAACAUAGGGGACGAGAGUGGAGGCCAGGAGCUGAGUUAGGAAGCUGGGAGGAUUCAGGUGGAAUGACAGUGACUCACUCAGUCUGAGUGGAGGAUAGCCAUUUUCUUUCCUUUCCUUCCCUUUCCUCCCCCUUGUUUGUUUAUUUUGAGAGAGACUGAGACAGCACGAGUGUGGGAGGGACAGAGAGAGAAAAUCCCAAGCAGGCUCCGCACUGUCAGCACGGAACCUGACUCGGGGCUCAAACUCACGAAACCACGAGGCCAUGACCUGAGCCCAAACCGAGUCUGAUGCCUAAUUGAGCCAUGCAGGUGCCCCAGGACAGCCAUUUUCUAUCCAGAAAUUCCCGAGUCUGUUCUUACCUGCCACCUCCCCCACCCCUCUUGGAAGUAGCAGCGGUGUCUAUAGAAGCUCCCAUCCCUACCUGCCCCCAGUGGCCUGACAGGCCCCCUAGUCACUCACCUGCCCCUUCCUCUUCCAUCUUGCCUUCUCUAGGACCAGCUGCUCUUCUGCGACGACUGUGAUCGUGGCUACCAUAUGUACUGUCUCACCCCAUCCAUGUCUGAGCCUCCUGAAGGAAGUUGGAGCUGCCACUUGUGUCUGGACCUGUUGAAGGAGAAAGCUUCCAUCUACCAGAACCAGAACUCCUCUUGAUGUGCCCCCAUCCCCGCUCCCCUCCCCCACCCCCGUGCAUCUAGGGCUGUUUCUCUCCUCCUCUCUUGUUUUUCAUGCCCACCUCUCCCCUCCUCCUCUUUCACAAGUCCAGAGAACCUCGGGUGGUCGUGCCAAUCUGCCUUUGGCAGCAGCAAGCUGGGGUGGCAGCUCUGGCCGCCCCUGGCCCUAGGCCCUCAGGGAGAACGGAGCAGCACACUGCCCCGAGGCAUGCCUGCGGCCCGGCUUCUCACUGCUCUCCGUGACGUGCAUUCACUCUGCCUGCCUUGGGCCCCGGCCCUGGUGAUCACAGGGUUCAAACAGUGUCCUCUGAGAAAGAGUGGGAGAGCAGCUCGCUUUUCUCUCUGCUCUGCCUCCACUCUGGUCCCCAGGGUGUUCCCGUCCCCUGGAGGUGAGCAGACCAGGGUCUCUUUGCCAAGAGCGGCUGGGAGUGAGCAGCUGAGCGAGCUGGGGCAGCGCUUGCACGGAGCUUUCCGGGCCUGUCGUGCCGCUUAGCCUCGCUGCCUCCUUCCCCUAGAAUGGCUCUCUGCAGCCCUCUUCCUGCUACCCAGGAUCCUUUGCCUGAGCCAGGAUGCUCUUGGUCACCUUCCUUGUUCUGUCCUGUCCCACUCACUCCACCCCACCCCAGGGGGAGUAGCAGCUUCACCUGAUUCUUCCUUGUGCUCACCUGGCUCGCUCGCAGGCGGUCUCUAACGACCGAAGCAUUCCCCGCCCUUGGAAUUUCCUGUCUUCUGCCUCCUCUCCUUAUUCCCUUUGGUUUUGUGGGGAGAGGGGAAGAAUCAGGGGGCCAGGCCAGCAGCUUGGGGGCCACAGGGAGACGUUGGAUAAUGUGCCUGUUUUUUAACUCGAUGAAAAAGCCUACCUCCGAAAUCCCCUUUUUGUUCUUCCUGGACCUGGACAUUCAGCUCCUGCCCUUAACUGAAUUGGGAGCCUCUGCCUCCUGCUCUGUGUAUCCUGGCUCCUGGGUCACAGGGAAGCCACACGGACAUCCCUUUCUUCCCUUGCACGCUCGCUAGCGGCUGGUAAGGUCUUCACACCCUGAUUCCUCAGUUUUUUGCCUGGUGACACUGACAUGAAGUAGUGGGGGGGACAGUCCAUGCCAGGACACCCUGGAGUGGCCUUCCCCUUGGCUGUGGGCAGGCCCUAAUUCACUGUCGCUUUGGAGUUGAGGUGUCUUUUCUUUCUUUAGUUCCUGUAUUCUAAACAUUAGUACAAAUAAACGUUUUUACACAGAA